GAUGAACGCUGGCGGCGUGCCUAAUACAUGCAAGUCGAGCGAACGGACGAGAAGCUUGCUUCUCUGAUGUUAGCGGCGGACGGGUGAGUAACACGUGGAUAACCUACCUAUAAGACUGGGAUAACUUCGGGAAACCGGAGCUAAUACCGGAUAAUAUUUUGAACCGCAUGGUUCAAUAGUGAAAGACGGUUUUGCUGUCACUUAUAGAUGGAUCCGCGCUGCAUUAGCUAGUUGGUAAGGUAACGGCUUACCAAGGCAACGAUGCAUAGCCGACCUGAGAGGGUGAUCGGCCACACUGGAACUGAGACACGGUCCAGACUCCUAAGGGAGGCAGCAGUAGGGAAUCUUCCGCAAUGGGCGAAGGCCUGACGGAGCAACGCCGCGUGAGUGAUGAAGGUCUUCGGAUCGUAAAACUCUGUUAUUAGGGAAGAACAUAUGUGUAAGUAACUGUGCACAUCUUGACGGUACCUAAUCAGAAAGCCACGGCUAACUACGUG
rnacentral:rRNA from 1 species